CAGAGCAGGAGGGUGGCCGCUCCGAUUGAGGCACAGCCUCAGUUUGGGAGGAAAGUCCGAGCUCCAUAGGGCAAGGCGGUCGUUAGCAGCGACUGGGGGUAACCCCAAGGAAAGUGCCACAGAAAGGGAAACCGUCCAGACUUUGUCGGGAUAAGGGUGAAAAGGUGAGGUAAGAGCUCACCAGUUGGGAUGGCGACAUCUCAAGCUUGGAAAACCCCGCCUGGAGCAAGGUCGAAUAGGUUCCGUUUUGAGAGGGGCCCCUUCAAAUCACUGUCCGCCUGAGGCGGAUGUGAGACGGAACGGGUUGUACUGCAAGAGUCUGGUGGUAACAUCAGACCAUAGAGGAAUGACCACAGAAACAGAACUCGGCUUAUUACCUGCUCUGGCAA
rnacentral:RNase_P_RNA from 1 species